rnacentral:rRNA from 1 species
GGAUGAACUGAGGGUAGCGGAGAAAUUCCAAUCGAACCUGGAGAUAGCUGGUUCUCUCCGAAAUAGCUUUAGGGCUAGCCUCAAGUGAUGAUUAUUGGAGGUAGAGCACUGUUUGGACGAGGGGCCCCUCUCGGGUUACCGAAUUCAGACAAACUCCGAAUGCCAAUUAAUUUAACUUGGGAGUCAGAACAUGGGUGAUAAGGUCCGUGUUCGAAAGGGAAACAGCCCAGACCACCAGCUAAGGUCCC